rnacentral:rRNA from 1 species
UACAGAGGUGGCAAGCGUUGUUCGGAAUUACUGGGCGUAAAGGGCGCGUAGGCGGUUCGUUAAGUCCUGUGUGAAAUCCCCCGGCUCAACUGGGGAACUGCACAGGAAACUGGCGGGCUUGAGUUCGGGAGAGGGAAGCGGAAUUCCUGGUGUAGCGGUGAAAUGCGUAGAUAUCAGGAGGAACACCGGUGGUGUAGACGGCUUUCUGGACCGUAACUGACGCUGAAACACGAAAGCGUGGGUAGCAAACAGG